rnacentral:rRNA from 1 species
UACGGGGGGGAGCAAGCGUUGUUCGGAUUUACGGUGCGUAAAGGGCGCGUAGGCGGCCACCGCAAGUCGGUUGUGAAAUCUCUGGGCUUAACCCAGAAAGGUCAACCGAUACUGCGGGGCUAGAGUGCAGAAGGGGCAACUGGAAUUCUCGGUGUAGCGGUGAAAUGCGUAGAUAUUGGGAGGAACACCAGUGGCGAAGGCGGCUCUCUGGACCGGUACUGACGCUGAAACGCGAAAGCCAGGGGAGCAAACGGG